AAAAUCAAGGAAUCUGUUGUAGAACAAUUUUUGUUCUUACAAUCUCCCCCUUUUUGAUGAUGACAAAACAACCUUAAUUAGCAGAUGAAACAUGAAUAAUAUUAGAUCAGAUAGACAGAAGCUCCCCCUGAGAUAAUGCUAGGGAGUUCAGAAGUUCUUACCAGAGUUUCUUAAGUACAGAGGUUUCUGAAACUUUCUGCAAUUUCUUAAGUCCAGGUUAGAUAAAUUUUAUUUUUAAGAAAAAUAUGUUGCAGAAUGCUUAAGGUAUUAGACAAUAUUUUCAUCAGAGCUAUUAAUGACUUCUCCCCCUUUUUGUCAGAAUCAAAAAGACAUAGUAAAAAAUAAAUAAAGAGAAAAACUGAAAUUCAUAUAAAAGCACAAAGGCAACAAGAAAACAUCAGAUUCAGAGAGAGAG
rnacentral:lncRNA from 1 species